rnacentral:rRNA from 1 species
AUGGACGCGCUCCCCUUGCAGGAACUGGUAGAUUGGGAAUACAAAAGCCAGGAGAGUGGGAAAAUGCAUGCUUGUGGACAUGAUGCUCACACAUCAAUGCUUCUCGGAGCUGCUAAGCUACUUCAUUCUUGGAAGGAUUACAUCAAGGGUACCGUCAAGCUUGUCUUUCAGCCAGCAGAAGAAGGAUAUGCCGGGGCUUACCAUGUCCUAGAAGAAGGUAUUCUAGACGAUGUGUCUGCCAUUUUUGGUCUGCAUGUCGACCCAAGUCUUCCAGUGGGUACCGUCGUCACCAGGCCAGGGCCAUUCAUGGCAGCAUCGGGACGGUUUUUGAUAACGGUCACUGGGAAAGGCGGUCACGCUGCAAUGCCACACAGUGCUGUCGACCCCAUCGUCAUGGCAUCCUCCGCCAUCAUCAGCCUCCAACAAAUCGUAGCUCGGGAAAUCGAUCCCCUCGAAGCCGCGGUGGUCUCAGUAACAUUCAUGAAAGGAGGUGAUGCUUACAAUGUCAUUCCUGAGUCAGCUUGCUUCGGUGGCACCUUCAGGAGCUUGACAACAGAAGGUCUAUCAUAUCUUAAGAAGAGGAUCAAGGAGAUUGUCGAAGCGCAUGCCGUCGUGAGCCGCUGCACUGCCACCGUCGACUUCAUGGAUGAGGAGCUCCGGCCAUACCCAGCCACCGUCAACGACGAAGGCAUGUACGAUCAUGCCAGAUCAGUGGCAGCGGCUAUGCUUGGAGAAGGCCACGUCAAGAUAGGUGGCCCAAUCAUGGCCGCGGAGGAUUUCUCGUUCUACACGCAGAGAUUCCCAGGGGCAUUUUUCAUGUUAGGAACCCGCGACGAGGCUAUGGCAACCGCGGUUCAUCCACUCCACUCCCCCAACUUUGUGAUCGAUGAGGGUGUGCUCCCGGUGGGAGCUGCCUUCCAUGCUGCUGUGGCGAUGGAGUACUUGAACAAGCGCGGAACCGUGGCAAAGUAA